rnacentral:rRNA from 1 species
AGACAGCAGUAGCCACGGUAAUACGAAGGGGGCUAGCGUUGCUCGGAAUUACUGGGCGUAAAGGGAGCGUAGGCGGAUCGUUUAGUCAGGGGUGAAAUCCCGGGGCUCAACCUCGGAACUGCCUUUGAUACUGGCGAUCUUGAGUAUGGGAGAGGUGUGUGGAACUCCGAGUGUAGAGGUGAAAUUCGUAGAUAUUCGGAAGAACACCAGUGGCGAAGGCGACACACUGGCCCAUUACUGACGCUGAGGCUCGAAAGCGUGGGGAGCAAACAGGAUUAGAUACCCCUGUAGUCCCUGUCUCUUAUAC